rnacentral:rRNA from 1 species
ACGUAGGGGGCCAGCGUUGUUCGGAAUUACUGGGUGUAAAGGGUUCGUAGGCGGUGUGGCAAGUUGGGAGUGAAAUCUCUGGGCUCAACCCAGAGGCUGCUACCAAAACUGCUGUGCUUGAGUGUGGGAGAGGCGCGUGGAAUUGCAGGUGUAGCGGUGAAAUGCGUAGAUAUCUGCAGGAACACCCGUGGCGAAAGCGGCGCGCUGGACCAUUACUGACGCUGAUGCACGAAAGCUUGGGGAGCAAACAGGA